CCGUACACAAAAGCGCAUGUGCUGUGAGCUCGAUGAGUAGGGCGGGACACGUGGUAUCCUGUCUGAAUAUGGGGGGACCAUCCUCCAAGGCUAAAUACUCCUGACUGACCGAUAGUGAACCAGUACCGUGAGGGAAAGGCGAAAAGAACCCCGGCGAGGGGAGUGAAAAAGAACCUGAAACCGUGUACGUACAAGCAGUGGGAGCACAGGUUUACCUGUGUGACUGCGUACCUUUUGUAUAAUGGGUCAGCGACUUAUAUUCUGUAGCAAGGUUAACCGUAUAGGGGAGCCGGAGGGAAACCGAGUCUUAAUUGGGCGUUAAGUUGCAGGGUAUAGACCCGAAACCCGGUGAUCUAGCCAUGGGCAGGUUGAAGGUUGGGUAACACUAACUGGAGGACCGAACCGACUAAUGUUGAAAAAUUAGCGGAUGACCUGUGGCUGGGGGUGAAAGGCCAAUCAAACCGGGAGAUAGCUGGUUCUCCCCGAAAGCUAUUUAGGUAGCGCCUCGUGAAUUCAUCUCCGGGGGUAGAGCACUGUUUCGGCUAGGGGGCCAUCCCGGCUUACCAACCCGAUGCAAACUGCGAAUACCGGAGAAUGUUAUCACGGGAGACACACGGCGGGUGCUAACGUCCGUCGUGAAGAGGGAAACAACCCAGACCGCCAGCUAAGGUCCCAAAGUCAUGGUUAAGUGGGAAACGAUGUGGGAAGGCCCAGACAGCCAGGAUGUUGGCUUAGAAGCAGCCAUCAUUUAAAGAAAGCGUAAUAGCUCACUGGUCGAGUCGGCCUGCGCGGAAGAUGUAACGGGGCUAAACCAUGCACCGAAGCUGCGGCAGCGAACGUAUCACCCAAGACAACUUUACGGAGUUGACGAUUGACGGAGCGAAGCGACGUCAAAGCGUUCAUUAAAGUCGAGUUGGCUUAGGGAUACGUUCGUUGGGUAGGGGAGCGUUCUGUAAGCCUGUGAAGGUGUGUCGUGAGGCAUGCUGGAGGUAUCAGAAGUGCGAAUGCUGACAUAAGUAACGAUAAAGCGGGUGAAAAGCCCGCUCGCCGGAAGACCAAGGGUUCCUGUCCAACGUUAAUCGGGGCAGGGUGAGUCGACCCCUAAGGCGAGGCCGAAAGGCGUAGUCGAUGGGAAACGGGUUAAUAUUCCCGUACUUGGUGUUACUGCGAAGGGGGGACGGAGAAGGCUAUGUUGGCCGGGCGACGGUUGUCCCGGUUUAAGCGUGUAGGUGUGUGUUCCAGGUAAAUCCGGUUCACUUUAACACUGAGGCGUGACGACGAGGCACUACGGUGCUGAAGCAACAAAUGCCCUGCUUCCAGGAAAAGCCUCUAAGCAUCAGGUAACACGAAAUCGUACCCCAAACCGACACAGGUGGUCAGGUAGAGAAUACCAAGGCGCUUGAGAGAACUCGGGUGAAGGAACUAGGCAAAAUGGUGCCGUAACUUCGGGAGAAGGCACGCUGACACGUAGGUGAAGUGAUUUACUCAUGGAGCUGAAGUCAGUCGAAGAUACCAGCUGGCUGCAACUGUUUAUUAAAAACACAGCACUGUGCAAACACGAAAGUGGACGUAUACGGUGUGACGCCUGCCCGGUGCCGGAAGGUUAAUUGAUGGGGUCAGCGUAAGCGAAGCUCCUGAUCGAAGCCCCGGUAAACGGCGGCCGUAACUAUAACGGUCCUAAGGUAGCGAAAUUCCUUGUCGGGUAAGUUCCGACCUGCACGAAUGGCGUAAUGAUGGCCAGGCUGUCUCCACCCGAGACUCAGUGAAAUUGAACUCGCUGUGAAGAUGCAGUGUACCCGCGGCAAGACGGAAAGACCCCGUGAACCUUUACUAUAGCUUGACACUGAACAUUGAGCCUUGAUGUGUAGGAUAGGUGGGAGGCUUUGAAGUGUGGACGCCAGUCUGCAUGGAGCCGACCUUGAAAUACCACCCUUUAAUGUUUGAUGUUCUAACGUGGACCCGUAAUCCGGGUUGCGGACAGUGUCUGGUGGGUAGUUUGACUGGGGCGGUCUCCUCCUAAAGAGUAACGGAGGAGCACGAAGGUUGGCUAAUCCUGGUCGGACAUCAGGAGGUUAGUGCAAUGGCAUAAGCCAGCUUGACUGCGAGCGUGACGGCGCGAGCAGGUGCGAAAGCAGGUCAUAGUGAUCCGGUGGUUCUGAAUGGAAGGGCCAUCGCUCAACGGAUAAAAGGUACUCCGGGGAUAACAGGCUGAUACCGCCCAAGAGUUCAUAUCGACGGCGGUGUUUGGCACCUCGAUGUCGGCUCAUCACAUCCUGGGGCUGAAGUAGGUCCCAAGGGUAUGGCUGUUCGCCAUUUAAAGUGGUACGCGAGCUGGGUUUAGAACGUCGUGAGACAGUUCGGUCCCUAUCUGCCGUGGGCGCUGGAGAACUGAGGGGGGCUGCUCCUAGUACGAGAGGACCGGAGUGGACGCAUCACUGGUGUUCGGGUUGUCAUGCCAAUGGCACUGCCCGGUAGCUAAAUGCGGAAGAGAUAAGUGCUGAAAGCAUCUAAGCACGAAACUUGCCCCGA
rnacentral:rRNA from 1 species